AUGGGCCCGCUUCCAAGUGUGUCUGCGUGCCGGCCACCCACGCCGGGUCCUUCAAGUGACGCUUCCACCGCACCAACUCCCAGGGCCACGGCCACGGCCAGGGCCAGGAAAGUCGUCCUUCUUCGCCCCCUUCACCGACCGCGGCCAACGCGGUGCCGCGGCAGCCGUCCUCACCGUCCUCUUCCUCCGGCACCGUUGUGA
rnacentral:rRNA from 1 species